rnacentral:rRNA from 1 species
AUGAAAGGAAAAAAAACAGAAAACGUGUUUUUUUCGUUUCCGAGAGGCACGGCCCUUCAACCGCGCGCACCUCCGCCGUCAGAAGCCAUGUCUGCUCUUCUCCCCGCACACGCUGUACGACGGUCACCGGCCCAUGGACAAGGUCAGCCUGUACAGGUGGGAGGCGAACCAGCAGUGCACCACCGUGCCACUCAUGCACGACAUAGACUUGACCUCCGACUACCUGAUGCACGACUUCGCGCACUGCGAUGGGCUGGUCCUGCUGCCCGUCGGGUUCACGGCGUACGUGCUCAACCCGGCCACACGCCGCACCCUGAAGCUUCCCCGGGGUCGUGGAGCCGACCCGCCGCCACAGCAAAAGCCUCUAAGCUUCGAGAUGUGCCACCAGGCGUUUGGCCUUGGGCAAGACCCACGUUCUGGCGCCUACAAGGUGGCGCGCUUCUCGUACUCCUCUUUGCACCUGCUUACGGGGAGGUGCAGCUACCGCUCCAUCACGAUGGAAGUGUUCACCAUUGGGACUGA